rnacentral:rRNA from 1 species
AGCAGCCGCGGUAAUUCCAGCUCCAAUAGCGUAUAUUAAAGUUGUUGCAGUUAAAAAGCUCGUAGUUGAAUUUCGGGAUCAAAUUGUCGGUCGUGCCUCGGUACGUACUGGUAUUAUUGGUUCCUCCCUUCUGACGAACCACGAUGUCAUUAAUUUGGUGUCAUGGGAAAUCAGGACUGUUACUUUGAAAAAAUUAGAGUGUUUAAAGCAGGCUCGCGCUUGAAUACAUUAGCAUGGAAUAAUGAAAUAGGACGUUUGAUUCUAUUUUGUUGGUUUCUAGGAUCGACGUAAUGAUUAAUAGGGAUAGUUGGGGGCAUUAGUAUUCAAUUGUCAGAGGUGAAAAUUCUUGGAUUUAUUGAAGACUAACUACUGCGAAAGCAUUUGCCAAGGAUGUUUUCAUUAAUCAAGAACGAAGUUAGGGAUCGAAGACGAUCAGAUACCGUCGUAGUCUUAACCAUAAACUAUGCCGACUAGGGAUCGGAUGAUGUUUAAUUUUUAAUGUACUUCAUUCGGCGCCGUU